rnacentral:rRNA from 1 species
UACAGAGGGGGCUAGCGUUGUUCGGAAUUACUGGGCGUAAAGCGUACGUAGGCGGUUUGUCGCGUCGAAUGUGAAAACCCGGGGCUCAACCCCGGGCCUGCAUUCGAUACGGGCAGACUAGAGUUCGGUAGGGGAGUCUGGAAUUCCUGGUGUAGCGGUGAAAUGCGCAGAUAUCAGGAGGAACACCGGUGGCGAAGGCGGGACUCUGGGCCGAUACUGACGCUGAGGAGCGAAAGCGUGGGGAGCAAACAGG